CUGUCAGUUUAUCACUUUCACGAGGUUGGAGUAAUAUAAUGUUUAACUACGUAAUACAUUGGCUCGAAUUUAGGUUGUGCCUUUUAUAUUUUUAGAAGAUUAACAACUAAGGAAGAUUUUUUUUCUCACUUCUCUUAUUGACUUAUCGAACCCCGGCCUGGGCUGUUUGGUCUGUUUCGCAAGCGUUCCCAAAGUCUCGCGAUGUUGCGCCUCUGAGUUUAGAAACUAUGGUAACGCCAUUUUCGCCCAGCAGUUCAGUAGCCAACAAAUGUGUUUCUAGAGAUAUAAGACCUAGUUAAAUGAAACGUAUAUUUAACAUGAAAGAUCAUGUAAUAAUUUUUUGGUUCAGAUAUCACUUCCCGUACAUGUAGCUAGCUAGUCACCGAUGAUGCAGCGAUAAGCAAUAAAGCCGUGACAGCUACCUGUGGUCAGUCAGGAAGAACAGCGCAAGAGACAAGACAGUGAGCUUCGUUUCUGUUCUCGCAAAGUCGAUCUAACAAAAAAAUUAACUUGUUCAUUCAGAAUAUAUACAACAUUAAAGUGUUUUCAAUCGGAAACUGCAUUGAAGUCGGACUAACUCCUCACUGUACUGUGUUGGGCAACGGAUGUCCAACAGAACGGAUGCGUGAGAACAUGUCUGCCAUGGUGUGUGUGAAGGAGGAGGAGGAGGACCCUGGGGAGAAGCUGUCCCAAGAUGAGAUCAUCUCCAGGACCAAGCAGGUGAUCCAGGGCCUGGAGGCUCUAAAGCAGGAACACAACUCCAUCCUGGAGGGCCUUCUGGACACGCUGCACUGCUUGAAGCAGGAUGACCAGGGAGUCCUGGUGGAGGAGAAGUCCCUCAUGAUCCGCAAGUCCCUGGAGAUGCUGGAGCUGGGCCUGAGCGAGGCACAGGUGAUGAUGGCGCUGUCGGGCCACCUGAGCUCGGUGGAGUCGGAGAAGCAGAAGCUGCGGGCACAGGUGCGCCGGCUGUGCCAGGAGAACCAGUGGCUGAGGGACGAGCUGGCAGGCACCCAGCAGAAGCUGCAGAAGAGCGAGCAGAGUGUGGCUCAGCUGGAGGAGGAGAAGAAACACCUGGAGUUCAUGAACCAGCUGAAGAAGUACGAUAAGGACCUGCUGCCAUCGGAGGAGAAGGACUCUGACUCCAGUAAAGAGAAUCUGGAUGAUCUGUUCCCAGACGACCAGGAUGACCAACCUCCAGGCAUCCAGCAUCCCCACGGUAGUGCAGCAGCAGCUGCCGCCCAGCAGGGUGGCUAUGAGAUCCCGGCUCGCCUCAGGACCCUUCACAACCUGGUGAUCCAGUACGCCUCCCAGGGCCGUUACGAGGUGGCCGUGCCCCUCUGCAAACAGGCCCUGGAGGACCUGGAAAAAACCUCCGGACACGACCACCCUGACGUGGCCACCAUGCUCAACAUCCUGGCCCUGGUCUACAGGGACCAGAACAAAUACAAAGAGGCAGCCAACCUGCUGAAUGACGCUCUGGCGAUCAGGGAGAAAACUCUGGGCAGGGACCAUCCAGCGGCUUGUGUCUCUGACUCUCCCUGGACCUCCAGUUCCCUCAGUGCAGACUCAGAGCAGCAGAGGUGGCUGCUACACUCAACAACUUGGCCGUGCUCUACGGGAAACGGGGGAAGUACAAAGAGGCGGAGCCACUUUGCAAGCGGGCUCUGGAGAUCCGGGAGAAGGUUCUGGGUAAGGACCACCCAGAUGUGGCCAAGCAGCUGAACAACCUAGCCCUGCUAUGUCAGAACCAGGGCAAGUACGAGGAGGUGGAGUACUACUACCAGCGGGCCCUGGAGAUCUACCAGACCAAACUGGGCCCUGACGACCCCAACGUGGCCAAGACCAAGAACAACCUGGCGUCCUGUUACCUGAAGCAGGGGAAGUUCAAGCAGGCUGAAACUCUGUACAAAGAGAUCCUUACCCGUGCACAUGAGAGGGAGUUUGGCUCUGUAGACGAUGAGAACAAACCCAUUUGGAUGCAUGCGGAGGAGAGAGAGGAACAGAGCAAGGGAAAGCAGCAGGACGGCUCCCCGUUCGGAGAGUAUGGAGGCUGGUACAAAGCCUGUAAAGUAGACAGCCCCACAGUGACCACCACCCUGAAGAACCUGGGCGCCCUCUACAAGCGGCAGGGUAAAUUUGAGGCGGCAGAGACCCUAGAAGAGGCCGCUAUGCGUUCCAGAAAACAGGGUCUGGACACGGUGCACAAACAGCGUGUGGCGGAUGUUCUGAGUGAGCCAGAGGCGCGGGAGAAGCAGUGGAGCCGUGAGAGCCUGACCUCCGACGCCACGGUCAAGUAUGAGAGUGGCCCGGACGGGGGCGAGGAAGUGAGUAUGAGCGUGGAGUGGAACGGGGUAAGUACAGUACACAGCCCAGGCCACACACAGGGAGUAGGAAGGGGUACAAACACACCCCUUAGAUCCUCCUAGAGAAAAGCCCAAUUGGGAUGGAAAAUAUUUGUUAUGAUUGGCUUUGUGAUUAAUAUCUCAUCUGAUUUCUCAAUUUGCUUUGAAAACGUCUCUAGAAAUUAUCAAUGUUAAGAUUAUACAUUACAAUUGAUGAUUUAUUUAAUCUACUAAUGAGCAGUGAACAGUGGCUUCUGUCAAUGAGGAUAUUACUGAACAUUUAAAGUUAUUUCUUACCUACUCUUAAAGUGCAUAUCCUCUACAACUUGUCAAUUAUUUGAUGAGGACUGAGUUGCCAGUGUCCUAGAUUCUAUAUGACUCCAUAUUAUUUGUGUGAUAGCUAAGGUUAUAAUGCUGAUUGACUGUCUGGCCAGUUUGUAGUUAUAAUCACCACCUCUGUUCUACACUAAUGCUUCUAGUCUACACUCAUGCUUAUAGUCCUCAACUGAGUGAACACUCCAGCUGCUUACAUAAAAUUACUUAUCAGACCUUUGUGCCAGCAAGUUACUGUGUCUAGUAUAGAAGCCAUAUGUUUUGUAUGGUUCUAUUUUGUUUUCAGCAAACAGUAUAUUGCACACAACAAACUCGUCCUUUCCAUGCAUUAGUCUGACAACUGUAUGCUAUUCUCACUGGUUCUAUCCGAUUACUGCAGUAAAGUCCUCUUGGUCACAGCAUAUGUUUGCAAAUCACACCACACUCUCUGCUGUAGUCUGCUAUUCAGAACUGCCCUGCUCCCAUAGCAACAGUAGCCGUAGUGCCCAAGACAACCAAUCAGCAUCUCCUCCUUGGAGUCCCCUGCCUGCCUGGUCUGCCCUCAGCUCAAGGCUCCGGGGAGACUGGGCUCAGGCACAUUCGUAACCUGUGUUCUCUACUGUACUGCUCACCUAUCGGACUGUCUCAGUCAGACACUAACCUGUGUGUUAAACAACACCUCUGUCGCCAUGGUGACUCAUUCAUGUUCUCAUCACUACUGAUGCAUGUGGGCUCUGUACUGUACAUCUUCAAUGUCCCUCUGACACUUUCAUCAUGUGUGUUUGUGUUUACUGUACUGUCUGUACUGUAUGUGCCUCUCCUGCCCAUUGUGUGUGGGGCGUGUAGUGCUGAAACCUCUGUCAGACACACAUAGUACAUACUGGUAAGGAUGGAUGGACAGACUUAAACAUGUAUGAUGAUUGUGAUACAGUACCCCUGCUGUCUUUUUCUGCAUCCAGUGGCAGGUUAUUACCAGCCAGAGUGGUGGGACAGCAUUCAACCUGUACAAUCUGUCCCAUUAUUCUAGCUGAUUCUGAGUGUGUAUUUACUGUCUGCAUCCCUUUGUCUGUGCAUGUAGUGCUGUGGUGGGCUAACUUGUUGUUUCCUCUCUGAGUAAAACCUGUACUACUGUGUGUGUAAGUAUGAUUUAAGUGUGCUAGAAGACAGACUGUUCCCCAGACACAGUAUCUCUCCAAGAAUACCCCCUUCACUUCUGCUUUGUUUGGGUGGGUUCUGUCACCCACUUUAGUCCUAUUUUCCUUUGUUUGUCGUCUUUUUUGGGUUUUCCGGAGCUUUGAUUUGAUUUGCCCAUGGAUGAGCCUCAGGUCCUCUGAACUUGGCAGUGGAAAAUGGCUGAUGGCUUUGUACAGGGAAUUGACUCAUGUUUAUUACAGAAACCUAACUGGGUUAAAACACACAGGCAGUCGUUUUAGUUUAUUUUGGGGUUAUAGUCACAUUGUUGGUUGUUUUGUGGAUUAACUUCACAGUUUUUUUAGAUCGGCUGAAAUGAGCCUGUUCUAUUCAUACACUUUCCAACUUACACAACUACUGAAUUUACCAUCAUGACCAGGACACUGGUUAGCUCAUACUGGCUAGGACCUCAGUGUAUUGAGAAAUACUUUAACUGACCAUUUAGGCUCUGAGGUCAUAUGAGCAAUUCCAAAUCCAUGCUGCCUUUGCAUCAGUUGGAUGCACUUGAUAAGGGAUUCAAGUGCCAUAAGGACUGAUUUAAUUCACUCCUCAAUUAGUUUUUAGGCUACUGUUUUUACUUUACCCUUGGUCCCUGGAUUUGUGUGGUUGCUUAUAGUUUCCUUUGCCCUAUAAAUCUCUUUAGCUGUUGCUAAUUUUGAGCCCUGAUGCCUUCUGCAGUUGUAAAGCACCGCCACAGCCCUACCUGGAGAAAUACUGUCUCUGUAGGGGAAACACUGGCUGACCUCUGCUGUCUGUCUGACUUGCUCUGCUUUCCUUCUCUUCCUCAUUUUCUCACUUUACUCUACCUCAUCUUCAUCUCUGUUUUUCAAUACCCUCUUCUGCCUCUCUUGGUAUUCCUUUUAAUUUGUCUCCCUCUCUCUUUCUUUUUUCCUCCCUCUCUUCACCCUGUCUGACCAGCAGGCAUAAUCCCAGAUGCCUUGUUGUGGUUCUAAGUACUUGUCUUCUGCAUGACGGACACCAGCUCGCCUGCCACCCCUCCAGCUUUGCAGUUGUGUCUUCUCUUCAGGCUCUUCUCUCCUCCUCUGGGCUGUCUGUCUGGUGACUCUACUGGGCCAAGCUGUCCCUAGUUCUAUCCUCCUAUCCACUGUCAAUGGGACCAGGGGGGCUGGGCUCUAUGUCUCAGAACCAAACCAAGCCACUCCUGCCUCCUGCCAUUACCUUACCUUGCUCUUUUCUGUACUUAAAUACUCUGUCUCCUCACUCUAUCUGUUCUAUCUCUCAGUAGGGUGUGUGUGGUGUUGCGUUUCCAGCAUUUACUAGAAGUAAUGAUGCAUACCGGUCUGCUUUUGCUCGUAGUGAUUUAACUAACAUACUGUGAAUUCUAUGAGUUGGUGGCAUGAUCAUCAUCCUGUAUGCUCCCUCAGAGUACCGUGGUGGCUCUAGGCUGCUGUCGAGUUUCUUUAGUAGUGUUUGAUCCUAUGCUCCAUAUGGUCCUAUUGAUGUCAAACUUAACGGUGUUGUCAUGUCCUGAUCAGGAGGGAGUGUCAGAAGACAAUGCAGCUCCUGUGUAUACAGAGCCAGAUGGUGGGAGGAGAUGGGGAGUGUAGAGGGGGGUAUAGGACAGAGGAGUGGGAGAUGCCUCACUCUGCAGAGUGGAAUUUGGACACUUCUCUUCAUGGCUCCUACUAAUCUACUCUGUCCUGUCUGUGCUUCUUAUAGUAUGUAUCUCUUAACUUCUAAUAAAACGUAAGUCUUUGCUCACCCACAUCUUUGCCUGUAGCCUCUUUGUGUGCUCUCUCUCUUUCUGUGUGUGUGUGUGUGUGUGCGUAAAACGGGGUGUGUGUGUGUCUAAAUCUUGAUGGUAGAGGUCAACUCCGGGACCAUGGUAAAGUGACCCGUCCUUUUCCUUCUCUUCUCCAUGGUGGUGUCCUAGUGGACAGUUCAAAGGUUAGGGGUCAGAGCUGUGUGAAUAACCACAGAGGAUGAAAAGCUGUUACUCCAAGAUCUGAUUAAACAUAGCAGGAUGGAUAUUGCUACCUUGAAUGAAUAAAGCAUGAAAACCUUUAGAAGGAAUUUACAUUGCUCUGCUCUGUUGACCCAAGAGAACUAUUGUGAGCAUAACUUUAUACAAUGUUUUUGGAGGGCUUCUCUAAUUUCUUUAUAGCAUCAUUUCUGAAUAGCGCACGGAUGAGGCCGACAUGUUUUGUCUCAACAGAGAGUCUAAUCGGAUGCACAUGCAAAAACAAGCACUUGCACAGUCCAUCACAUAUGCAGACAAUAGAAGUUGCUGAGCCAAUUCUCUGUAUUUUGAUUGUGUGCGUGCGUGCAUAUCUGUACUGAGUGUGGGGGUGUGUGCAACUCUGCAUGCAUGUUUGUCUCUACCUGUGUGUAUGCAAGAUGUGAGUGUGAAAGUAACCCUCUGACCUCUCUCAUCAGGACGGUUCCGGCUCUCUGAAGCGGAGCGGCUCCUUCAGUAAACUCCGUGCCUCUAUUCGCCGCAGCAGUGAGAAACUGGUCCGCAAGCUGAAGGGCGGCAGCACACGGGAGUGGGACCCCAAAAACUCUGGCAUGAAGCGAGCCAGCUCACUGGGUGUUCUAAACGUGGUGGACAAGGCUGCCGGAGACCUCUACCAAGAGCGAAAUAAUCAUCUGAGAAAGAGCCGUGACCUGAGUUCCAGCCACACUGACCUGGCGCAUUGAAGGUCGGAACUCAGAAUGUUCCAGUGGAGAAGUGACAGAGGUCAUGGGGUCAGUCUCCUAAACAACCCCCUCCCUAUUGUAGGUAUACAGCUGGCUGCAGUACAUAGGUUUCACAAUCUCAUUGCACUUUGAUCUCAUCACUGGUUUGCUUAGGUGUUUUCAUUGAAAUGUUUUCUCUUUUUUCUAUCAAUAUAUGUCGAACAACAUGAGAUUAGUUAUAAUGAAUGACAAAUGUAUAACGCUAAGUCAAGUGUAAAUGCGUGUGUGUGGAUGUAAGUAUGCACCUAUAUUUUAUAGUUAAGUGCUCAAAUGAGAGAAUGUUCAUUUUUGUAUUUUCUGUGUGUGUGAUUGCUUUGUCCUACCUUACCUCCACACAUCUAAAUCGAAUCUUAAAUCAUUUGGUUAUCACUUGAAUGGAAUAUGUGAGCAGUUCAGGAGGUCCCAAUAGGGUACUUAACUCUGCUGUCUUACCCCCUUUCAUCCAAAUUGAUGUCCUGUGUGUUCUUAUUGAAGUGCUAGAUGUGCUUGUUGUUUUAUGUUUUACAUUUGGGUUGUGUAAAUUAUGGUUUAUUUUAUUUCCUAUGCUGAUCUGGGGAAUCUUAUUUCUUUGUAUCAGAGGUCUUGAAAUGGAUAGCUCUGCUUCUAGUUUCAUGAUGUUACUGCAAUUUCAAGAGACUGCUCAAAAUGUAUGUGAAGUUAUGAGUCAGGAUCAUUCUGUUGGCACAUUAAGUAUAUCUGGUGGAUUUCUCAGGAUUGUCACAGAACAGAAGAUGGCUAGCGAAGCUAGUUUUGAUAUACACUGACUGCACUAGAUAUUUAACACAAGAACCUGUUACAAUCAAAUGCAUUUUCCAGUAAUGGCAUAAAAAUAUUGUUACAAUCUGGAGUAAAGACAUUGUUUACUAAUUUGUACCAAUCUGUUUCUGUAUGUUGAAUGAUUAAUCAAGAGUAAGACUAUGUAUAAAGAGUGAAAUUAAGCUGAAGUACUUGGACUUCAUUAGAUUAAAUAUCCAACCAAAAAAUUCAACAAAUGUUUUUAUUGAUCCAUUAUAGGACUUGCUCUCACUCCCACAUUUACAUUGUUUUACUUUCUCAAAACUUUCAAGUUAACGUUUGCUCCUUUCCAAAGCGUGCCUUUUUUAGGUCCACAGACAUGAUCCUACUGACAUGGGUUUGGAUUGCUUGUUGGGUGGACUGUUAAUGUGGUCUGUUGAUGGGGAUGUGUGAUAGCGUUCUCUUAUGUAAGGAAGGUGACUGUUCCAUUUGACUUCAGACAUCAUAGGCCCAGGAACUUCCCCAGUCCCUCACCAGGAUGACUUAAAGAGGGGUGAAACAUUACUAAUUAGGGUUAAAUUGACCAGACCGGUUACACUAUCCAAGGAACAGGACCUAUUUUUAUGAUAAACAAGCAAGUUGUCAUGAGCAGAGGGAACCAUGGAGUACUGAGUAAUUUGCAAGUAAUCCUAUGAGCAUGGCUGCGUUUACACAGGCAGCCCAAUUCUGACCUAUUUUCCAUUUUUUUCCAUUCUAUUUUUGGUAGUUUGGCCAAUCACAUCAGAUCUUUUUCAGGGCUGAUCCGAUUGGUCAAAAGACCAGUAAAUAAAACAAAUAUCAGAAUUAGGCUGGCAGUGUGAACGCAGCUUCUGAGUCACUUGAGGUGGUGCACAGAAUCAUGGAGAAGGACAACACGCCCUGAACUAAUGAAACACUGCUGGGAAAUGUUAAUGAUGACAUCACCCUAUUAUUUGUGACACAGUCAAUGCACCAGACUGUCCAAGUUAACUUUUUUUUGUUUGCGGUUGGGCUUGAGUAUGUUUGGAGAUGUCCUGGGCUAGACUGGCAAUAGGAACACAAUUGGUACCUAUCCAAACUUCCAGCCCCUUUCCCUUAGGAUGACUGCUGUGCUGGCUGGAUCCCUUUAGCCUGAACUGUGGUGAAGUGUUUGUCCUGAGAAAAUAUAUUAUAUGGUAUAAAUUGUUUGAAUAAAACUAUACAAAUGUU